UGGGGAAUAUUGGACAAUGGGGGCAACCCUGAUCCAGCAAUGCCGCGUGUGUGAAGAAGGCCUUCGGGUUGUAAAGCACUUUUAUCGGGAGCGAAACGCGCCAGGCGAAUACCUUGGCGAACUGACGGUACCCGAUGAAUAAGCACCGGCUAACUUCGUGCCAGCAGCCGCGGUAAUACGAAGGGUGCAAGCGUUAAUCGGAAUUACUGGGCGUAAAGCGUGCGUAGGCGGUACGUUAAGUCUGCCGUGAAAGCCCUGGGCUCAACCUGGGAACUGCGGUGGAUACUGGCGUGCUCGAGUGCGGUAGAGGAGGGUGGAAUUCCCGGUGUAGCGGUGAAAUGCGUAGAGAUCGGGAGGAACAUCAGUGGCGAAGGCGGCCCUCUGGACCAGCACUGACGCUGAGGCACGAAAGCGUGGGGAGCAAACAGG
rnacentral:rRNA from 1 species